CCAACUAACAAAUGUUGUUUUGUUGAGUAGUUCAUUGUAAUCCUACAAUGUGAUUUGCCUAAAAGCAAAUGAACUAGAGAUAGAACUCAAAGAAUGGGUUCUUUGAGAGACAAGAAAGUAAUCAACAAAUAUAACAACCUAGUUCCUAUACCUCAAGCUCCAAGGUAGUCGAUAAGGAUUUAUAAACCGUCUCAGUUGAAUGGUUUUGAACUUUAUGACUAUGUCAUAGAGUUACACCUCUUAAUUUGAAAGAAAUAAGAAUGAAAAUCCUUAUGACUACAUUGAGUGUAUAUAUGAUAUAUACUCAAGGAAAUGGUAAAGUACCAUUUGACCCGAAAUAAUGAAACCUUCAUAAGCUAAUUGGUAGCUUAAGGUGACUACAAUCAAAGAGAAUGGUUGACUUUGAAGGAACCAUCUUUGACGUAGUCUUAGUUUCAAUUAAUUCGAAGAAUGCUAGCUACAACUAAAUGGUGAUUCAAUGUUUGGACAUAAUUUGGGUUUUCGAAACCAUUAUUAAGAUAGUCUUGAUAAUAUAUGUCUAAAACUAUGAAUCACAAGACAUGUAAGUUGUAGAGAUCCAUCCAUCAUGGAUCUUAGCAAGCUAGUGGGAGCUAUAAGCGUCUUAUGAGAGAAAGGUCAAAUCGUUUGCUUUCUCAUAAAGAUGUAAAUGAAUCUUUUGUUUACUAGGUUUACAAAAGAUUAGUGGGAGUUAAUCAUAUUCCUAAAUUUAUAUAUAUAUAUAUAUAUAUAUAUAUAUAAAUAUAUAUGUGAUAUAUAUGAAUGUAUAUAUGAUAUAUUAAUUUUGGAAAUGAAAAGAAUAUUUCUUCGUUAAAGUUAUGACUUUAAACAUUCUAUAAAGAUAGAAUGUAUAUGGGAGACAUAGUCUAUAUACAUGGGAUGGAAAUCUAUAUUGAUAGAUUUUAGGAUAUAAUUUGAUUAUAUCAAUCCCUAAUAAUAGACAAAAGAUGCUAGGAAGUUUCUCAUAUGAUGAUAAACUUUAAUUAGAAGAACAACUCUAGUGAGACUAGGAGGUAGCUCUUCUCAAAGGGAACGUACCCUUUGACUCCCAAAGAAAUAAUGCGUAAAUAAGAAUCCUUUAUGCAUACGCAUAAAGGUGAUUUAUGUAUUUCAUAUUGUAUGAAAAACAUUGAUAUGAGUUG
rnacentral:lncRNA from 1 species